UGGCGGAUGCCUUGGCUCUCGGAGGCGAUGAAGGACGUGAUAAGCUGCGAAAAGUCACGGGGAGGUGCAAAUAACCUUUGAUCCGUGAAUCUCCGAAUGGGACAACCCGGUAUCCUGAAGGGAUAUCACCUUACUAAUGUAAGGAGCUAACGCAGGGAACUGAAACAUCUUAGUACCUGCAGGAAAAGAAAAUAACAAUGAUUCCCCCAGUAGUGGCGAGCGAACGGGGAA
rnacentral:rRNA from 1 species